rnacentral:rRNA from 1 species
AUACGGAGGGUGCAAGCGUUAAUCGGAAUUACUGGGCGUAAAGCGUACGUAGGCGGUUGGUUAAGUUAGAUGUGAAAGCCCCGGGCUUAACCUGGGAACUGCAUUUAAAACUGGCGAACUAGAGUUGAGUAGAGGGGAGUGGAAUUUCAGGUGUAGCGGUGAAAUGCGUAGAGAUCUGAAGGAACACCAGUGGCGAAGGCGACUCCCUGGACUCGAACUGACGCUGAGGUACGAAAGCGUGGGUAGCAAACGGGAUUAGAAACCCGAGUAGUCC